rnacentral:tRNA from 1 species
UCUAAUAUGGCAGAAAAGUGCACUGAACUUAAGCUUCAACCAUAAAGUAAAAUCUUUUUUUAGAA